GAACUUCAUAUCGUACAUGACCCACCCCCUGGAUUCCUAACGACACUUUACAUACCUAAUAGUAGGGUGACACGAUUGAUGACAUGCCCCUCUAGGUAGUUGUCAGUGUUUUUGACGGACCAUUGUCAAUGGCACGGGAGGCAUGACACAAAAGUACGUUGCCCUUUUACCAAAGUGACAAGUAGAAAUCGGAUUCCGACAGUGAAGACCAAAGGAGGUAUGAACUUCAUAUCGUACAUGACCCACCCCCCGGAUUCCUAGCGACACUUUAGAUACCUAAUAGUAGUGAGACAUGGCCAUUAAGCUUGAACUUCAUAUCAUACAUGACCCACCCCCCUGAUGGCUAGCGACACUUUAGAUACCUAAUAGUAGCGAGACAUGGCCAUUACACUUUAAGUUGUAGAGACACGUAGUGAGACUUUAUCAAUGACGUGCAACACAAUUUGGGGUCAGUUCAUUGAAACUAGAUUUGUAGUCUAAAAUUUUGGUACGCUUUGAAUUUGAAUUGGUAGUAAUUGAAUAACAAAAAAAGAAAAAACAAAAAUAAUAAUAGUUUGGCCCUAAGCGUAAGGAGCACAAACCGGGCUUCAGUCGGUCUUCUUUUUUGUCAGGGGACGCCGUCGUCAACCAAAGGCACCGCACCUGUAUUCAUUAGGGCACGCUUCGUCCAGGGCUUGGCCACGAGGGGAGGACGCCAUCCAGGGCUUCGACGACGCCUGGAGUUCGCG
rnacentral:lncRNA from 1 species